AUCCAGAUGACGAGUUUAAAAUAGGACGAAGUGCGGAGCAUCCUGGAU
rnacentral:hammerhead_ribozyme from 1 species